CCAAGUAACUUUUAAAUUCCCAUUGAGGCAAUUCACGGCAGGGUUCAAACUUCUUUCCGUAAUAUUGUUCAGUGACAGAUCGGAACUUCUCAAUCCCCCAUGAACUGAGUAAAUAUUUCAAUCUGCUAUAUCUGCGAUCAUCUCUUCUCCCAUUCUCUCUCUGAGUAACAACAAUAGCUUUAACUGCAUAAAGUAUAUCCGCUUUAGGAACAUAACCUAAUGGCUCAGCCAGACGAGGAAAAGUAGUUUCCAUCCUAUGAGUUCGUCCCAUACCACCACCUACAUAUAUAUUGAAUCCCUGAGGUUCUCCAUCCUCAUCAGAUACAACAACAACACCUAUGUCAUUCGUGAAAAUGUCCACCGAGUUAUCACUUGGCACAGUAACUGCGAUUUUGAACUUUCUUGGCAAGAACUGAGUUCCAUAAAUGGGUUCAGGUGAGUCAGGAAAGUUCGUUCCAUGGGAGUUAUCAUUCCGAGCUUUCACAACUUCAGGAGGUUCUACUGACAUAAAUUUCUCCCCAUCCACCCAAACGUCAUAGUAAAAUCCAGACUGGGGAGUUAAAAGUGCUGCAAUGUUGUCAGCUGCCCCAUUUGCAAAAAAAGAUUAUGUUUUUGCUAAACAAACAGCUGACAAC
rnacentral:misc_RNA from 1 species